CCUACGGGUGGCAGCAGUGAGGAAUAUUGGUCAAUGGACGAGAGUCUGAACCAGCCAAGUAGCGUGAAGGAUGACUGCCCUAUGGGUUGUAAACUUCUUUUAUAUGGGAAUAAAAUGUUCCACGUGUGGGAUUUUGUAUGUACCAUAUGAAUAAGGAUCGGCUAACUCCGUGCCAGCAGCCGCGGUAAUACGGAGGAUCCGAGCGUUAUCCGGAUUUAUUGGGUUUAAAGGGAGCGUAGGUGGAUUGUUAAGUCAGUUGUGAAAGUUUGCGGCUCAACCGUAAAAUUGCAGUUGAAACUGGCAGUCUUGAGUACAGUAGAGGUGGGCGAAUUUCGUGGGGUAGCGGUGAAAUGCUUAGAUAUCACGAAGAACUCCGAUUGCGAAGGCAGUUCACUGGACUGCAACUGACACUGAGGCUCGAAAGUGUGGGUAUCAAACAGGAUUAGAUACCCCAGUAGUC
rnacentral:rRNA from 1 species